ACACGGACAAAAACAACAAGAACAGACAUUCGCUGCUCUUCCGUUGCCCAUGACACCGGAGCGAAGUUCUGACAGCUGAUUUCCAAACCGGUUUCCGACACUUUCAGAACCCCAGGUCCCGGUUUUUGGCUCGUUUCCCAUUUGGAGGUGUUUGCUGCUUCCCAGCUGCGGGGUUCCUGACGGCGGGUUUACCGGGAUACAGCGGCUGAUUAUGGUGUAGCACGGAACGUUAGCUCGGAGAGACGGAAGACAUCUAAGCAGCGGACGCAGAGUGGUGUAGAGCAGACGGAGCAGCUUAGCCAUGCUUACACUGGCCAGCAAGUUGAAGAAGGACGAUGGAGGAAAGACAGGCCGUGCCUCUGGAGCCUCUGACUCCACCCACAGGGUCUCCAUCAGAGACCGCCUUCUCACCAAAGAAGUUGCAGAACUUGAAGCCAAUCUCCCUAGUACAUGCAAAGCCAGUUUCCCAGAUGAGAAUAAGCUGCAUCACUUUCAGCUGGCUGUGUCUCCUGAUGAGGGUUAUUACCAAAGUGGAAGGUUUCAGUUUGAAAUAGAUGUCCCUGAAGCCUAUAACAUGGUGCCUCCUAAAGUCAGAUGUCUGACCAGAAUAUGGCAUCCGAAUAUCACAGAAAAUGGAGAGAUCUGUUUGAGCUUAUUGAGAGAACAUUCAAUUGACGGCACAGGUUGGGCACCAACUAGAACAUUAAAGGAUGUGGUCUGGGGAUUGAACUCCUUGUUUACUAUGUACUGAGACCAUAAAUUCUGACUUCGGGAAAAUCAUGUAUCUCGUUAUGAAGAACACUUUGAUGUAACUUCGAGGUCGAAGCGAGAAAAGUGCAAGCCAUGUUUUGGAGACGCCAGCUGGCUCAGGAAGCUCGCUACUGCCACCUCUCCUUAGGGACCUGCUGAACUUUGAUGACCCACUGAACAUCGAUGCAGCAGAACAUCAUCUGAGAGACAAGGAGGAUUUUCGAAGUAAGGUUCAAGAUUACAUCAAGCACUACGCCAGAUGAUAGAUGGAUCGGCUUCCCCAAGCAGCCGUGCGACAAACAACCAAACUGCUCUACCUUGCCUCUGCUUAUCUGGCCGACUCCUCCAUGUGUGAAACAGCAGCAGACUCUUUGACUCUUACUACUCCCCUCCACCUCUACAUGACUCUGCAACCCCCGCAAUAAACUUCACACUGCAGAAAUAAUAAAAAAAAAUAGUAAAAAACUAAACAGAAUUAUGAAUGCUUCAAAGGAAGGACUUGCAAACAAAAUAUAUGCUUUAAUUAUGCUAAUAAGUUGAUUGUUACAGCAGCAACAAUGUCUGAGUCUGCGCCAGCGCCUUGCUAAGGUGAACACGAGCCUGUUGGGAACGAGCCGUGGCAGGAAAAACACAACAUGGAGUCUCACAUGAUGUUUCACCGAAAAAGAUCAGAAGUCACACUUGGCUGUUUUUAAAUACAAGCUGAGAAAAGAACAAAUAUCUGUUACUAUCAGCUCUCUGUUUCAGUGCCUGCAUUGUUUGUGUUGCUUAUGAGAAAGUGCAUGGGGGGUCUACAAAUGUUCACACAUACAAAAAAACAAAACAAAAAAAACACGCGUCAUAUGUCGUCGUAGAGGGUGAGCAUACACACUCACACACGAAGGUUCCUCAUUAGACAGCAUGUGAAUGAUGACGUUUUGUUUCCGUUCUCAGAGCAUGUUUGUGUUGUCCUGUGCUCAGCAUUUAAAUCACCUCUAAUCUCUUUAUACGUUGCUUCCAAGUUCUCCAGGUCUUUUUCUUUCGACUUUGUUGACUUUAUUACCAUAUUUUCUAAUAAUUUACAGAAAUUGGGGGUGGUUUAAAAUCUUUGCACAGUUCUCCAGCAGGUUACACACACAAAACAUCUCAUAGAGAUAAUUUGAGUGUUUUCAUCUCCAGAUACAUAAAAUACUGCCAUGAAAAACAAAAAGCCACAUGUAUCUUUCUUUCUUUUUUUUAUUUAAUUCUCACCCCCUUCUCAUCUGCGCUCUUUACACCUUCGUAUCUCGAUCACGGCGUGUAUGAGAAGCUUAUUGCAAACUAACAGUGCAAUCCAAAAGUGCUUUGACAUCUCACUGGUAAAGUUGGCUUUGUACUUAAAUACUAUCAAGUUUUAAAUGAAAUCAUGAGGACUUUAAAUGACUGGUUCAGAUUUAAUUUUUGCACCCAUGAGAAAUAAAUAGUGAUGGAAUUUUA